CGGGUGAGUAAUGUCUGGGAAACGUGCCUGAUGGAGGGGGAUAACUGCUGGAAACGGUAGCUAAUACCGCAUAACGUCGCAAGACCAAAGAGGGGGACCUUCGGGCCUCUUGCCAUCGGAUGUGCCCAGAUGGGAUUAGCUAGUAGGUGGGGUAACGGCUCACCUAGGCGACGAUCCCUAGCUGGUCUGAGAGGAUGGCCAGCCACACUGGAACUGAGACACGGUCCAG
rnacentral:rRNA from 1 species